rnacentral:rRNA from 1 species
UACGUAGGGUGCAAGCGUUGUCCGGAAUUAUUGGGCGUAAAGGGCUCGUAGGCGGUCCGUCACGUCGGGAGUGAAAACUCGGGGCUUAACCCCGGGCCUGCAGUGGGUACGGGCAGACUAGAGUGCGGUAGGGGAGACUGGAAUUCCUGGUGUAGCGGUGAAAUGCGCAGAUAUCAGGAGGAACACCGAUGGCGAAGGCAGGUCUCUGGGCAUUAACUGACGCUGAGGAGCGAAAGCAUGGGGAGCGAACAGG